UACGAAGGGGGCUAGCGUUGUUCGGAUUUACUGGGCGUAAAGCGCACGUAGGCGGAUUGUUAAGGUCAGGGGUGAAAUCCUGGAGCUCAACUCCAGAACUGCCUUUGAUACUGGCAAUCUUGAGUCCGGAAGAGGUGAGUGGAAUUCCCGGUGUAGCGGUGAAAUGCGCAGAUAUCGGGAGGAACACCAAUGGCGAAGGCAGCUCGCUGGGACGUUACUGACGCUGAGGCGCGAAAGCAUGGGGAGCGAACGGG
rnacentral:rRNA from 1 species